AGAAAUUCGUCCAUACAUACCCUAGGAAGCAAAACACCCCAAAAACACCAUUCUAGUGCCUAGAAAACAUAACAGCCACUCCACCUUCUUCCACCCUCUUUGCCUAGUUCUCCACCACCUUCCAACCAUCAAACACUCUUCCACACUCACCCUAAACCCCUCCAUAUCAUUCCCCAUCCAUUCUACACCAUAAAUCCACCCAAAAAUCUGUCCACAAGCUUCAUGCCGCAACAAGGAGGAAUGGAGAUCCAUUGAUGCAUUUGCUUUCCAAGUUGGAGCAUUUUAGGUGUUUUCUUUCCUUUGAUUUUAAUGUCUAAUUUUAUGUAUCUUUGUAUUGCAAGAAUGAGGAACUAAACCCCCUUAGUUGGGGGGUGAUUCGAAACCAUGUACAUGCUUGCAAUAUGAUUUGAUUACAUUCAGUUAUUAUUUCAUAAGUUGUGGAUUCAAUUCGUUCAUCUACUUGAUUGAUAACUUAUUUGUGUAUGUUGAUUGAGAGUGCACGCUUAGUUUUCAUGCAUGAAUAUGAUGCUAGAUUAUAAGGGAGUUUCACCUAAUAAUUACAAUCUUAUAAUCACAAGUAGUGAAGGUCGCUUGAAAACGAUCGCGUUGAAUGAAUUCUUGGCACUAG
rnacentral:lncRNA from 1 species